CAGUAGCCGCGGGAAUACAGAGGGUGCGAGCGUUAAUCGGAUUUACUGGGCGUAAAGCGUGCGUAGGCGGCUUCUUAAGUCGGAUGUGAAAUCCCUGAGCUUAACUUAGGAAUUGCAUUCGAUACUGGGAAGCUAGAGUAUGGGAGAGGAUGGUAGAAUUCCAGGUGUAGCGGUGAAAUGCGUAGAGAUCUGGAGGAAUACCGAUGGCGAAGGCAGCCAUCUGGCCUAAUACUGACGCUGAGGUACGAAAGCAUGGGUAGCAAACAGGAUUAGAGACCCCGGUAGUCCCUGUCUCUUAUAC
rnacentral:rRNA from 1 species